CAGGUUGUCCAGGGAGGUUGUGGAUGCCCCAUCCCUGGAAGUGUUCAAGGCCAGGUUGGAUGGGGCUUUGGGCAACCUGGUCUAGUGGAGGGUGUCCCUGCCCAUGGCAGGGGGCUGGGAACUAGAUGAUCUUUGAGGUCCCUUACAACCCAAACCAUUCUAUGAUUCUAUGUGUUCUUUGAACCCUGCAGCUCCUUUCUAAACAGACUGUGAAAGCUUCAAGAAAAUCCAACCCACUUUUUUUGGUAUUGUCUUAUUACACUAGCUUACAAAUCUGUCUGAAUUUAUAUCUAGGCAGUGCUAAUCUUCAUCCCUGCAGCUGUAAUUGCAGUGUGUCUGCUUCCGUCGCCUCUGGCUGGCCAUGUUCCUUUGGUGCUGUAAAAAUGGUGUUGCAGCUGAGGUCCAUGUGACAUCUGAAGUUUUCCAGCAGGAUGGAGCAUUUCUGCAAUGUGCCUUCUAACCUGGACAUCCCACUCCACUAUCAAACAAGCUGAUCUGGAAUAGCUCAUGUGACAGGACUAUCCUGACUUUAGACCAAAAGCCUGUCCUAGGGCUUCAAGUUUUCAGAGCCAAGUGGUAGCCUUAGAAUUGGAAAGACUGAAAGAUUUAGAAACAGUAUGUUACAUCCGGUUCUACAAAGGAAGCACCUGAGUCUCCUUGUGCACUUGGGUUAGGCUCUGGAUACAACUUGACCUUACCUAGACGCUUACUGAAACACUGAAGGCAGUAUCAGAAGGUUGCUUUUUGAGGGGAAGAGGUUGGGAGGAACUGAAUUUGGCCUGUUGAGCAACUAUAUAAGCUCCAGAGCUGUUGCAAGCUGUGGAAGGUCCAUGUGGUGAGGAUGAGAGGGCAGGGUCAAGGGAAGAGUGGAUAUAAGGCUGUAUUCAACUGGCAGCAGUAAGCUCUUGGUUGAGCUCAACCAUCACAUGGAACUGCACCCUUAAACUAAGUGACUUUUCAGCACAGCCAAGGACAAGACAUGGACAUAGAGAUCAGCAGCUCUUCAGAUUACUUCUGUUUGAAACUAGGUAUUCAUCUUCAUGAAGGAAAGAAACACGUGAGAAGAUCCAGUUAGAACUAUAGUGUUCACUUCAAAAUGCCCCAAAGGGAAAAUACUCAUCUGCGUGUCUCGUCUUUCAAAACUGUCUGCAUUCUUUCAAUCAAAGAAAAAUCUUUUUUGAGAAAGAUGACUUGUGAAAUCUGUGAACAAAGCUGGCUUUACAAGGAUACUGAAUGAAAGAAAACAUGCCUUACAAUGGACACUUAUCUUGAAAGGGUGACAGUGUGCUCUUGAACUAAAACACAGGCACUGUCAAAACACAGAUCCUGAACAAUAAUAAGGAUUAUAAACUGCAUCAGAAUGUUUGUUAGUCCCAGAAGAGUCAGAAAAUGCCAUUUUUUGCAGAUAUUUGCCACUUGCUUCAUACUGUGUCUCAUGAUUUUUUGGGGACCGUUUGAUAAUCACAUUGUGAGCCAUAUGAAGUCCUAUUCAUACAGAUACCUCAUAAAUAGCUACCAUUUUGUGAAUGACAGCCUGUCUAUCAACAGGGAUAACUUGGACAGAGUAUCAAGCUAUCAAUACUUGAUCAACCACAGAGAAAAAUGUUGGCAGCAGGAUGUUCUUCUCCUGUUGUUCGUGAAGACUUCUCCUGAAAACCGUCAUCGGAGGGAUGCAAUUAGACAAACUUGGGGUAACGAGAAGUAUGUUCAUUCUCACCUUAAUGCCAACAUUAAAACUCUCUUUGCUUUAGGACAACCAACAGAUCAUCUGCAGCAAUCACAGCUGCAAAGAGAACUUCAGCUGGAAGACCAGAAAUACAAUGAUUUGAUUCAGCAAGACUUCUUGGAUACUUUUCACAAUCUUACUCUUAAAUUACUUUUGCAGUUUAGCUGGGUGAAUGCCUACUGUCCUCAUGCCAGGUUCAUUAUGUCUGCAGAUGAUGAUAUAUUUAUCCAUAUGCCAAAUCUUGUUGCUUAUCUCCAAAGUCUAGCACAAAUGGGUGUUCAAGAUCUCUGGAUUGGUCGUGUCCAUCGCGGGUCCCCUCCCGUAAGAGACAAGAGUAGCAAAUACUAUGUUCCGUAUGAAAUGUACCAGUGGCCCUCUUAUCCUGACUACACAGCAGGAGCUGCAUAUGUAAUAUCAAACGAUGUAGCAGCUAAAGUCUAUGAGGCUUCAUUGACUCUCAAUACAAGUCUUUAUAUAGAUGAUGUUUUCAUGGGUCUCUGUGCCAAUAAAAUGGGAAUUGUACCACACUAUCAUGUAUUUUUUUCUGGGGAAGGAAAGGCUCCAUAUCAUCCCUGCAUUUAUAACAAAAUGAUGACAUCUCAUGGACAUGUAGAUGAUCUUCACCAGCUCUGGAAGCAGGCUACAGAUCCCAAAGUUAAAAAGUAUUCUUUGGGGAUUUGGGGUAGAAUAUACUGCAGACUAGUCAAUAUUGUGCUUCUCUGUAAAUUAUACUAUGAGGACACAUAUCCUUGUUCAGCUGCAUUUUCUUAAUACUUGAAUAUAUCUGCGUUGAAGAUCCACUGAGCCAAAACAGAGCAACAACUUUUUAGCUGUUUAUUCAAAAUACAUGUAAACAUGGAAAGAGACUUUCAGGACUGAUAUUUUAGCUGCCAAUUGCCAAACCUGUGGUAGCUCUUCCUGGAGUGGACACACAGCCCACACAAGGUACAGUCAGAUAGUGCUUGUGAACUGAUUUGAUGCUGGAACAAUUUCUGGUGGAGAUGGUGUCAGAAAACUACUUCUGAAAAACUUGAUUCAUUCAAGUUAUCAGCUGAGCAAUAACAAUACUUACAAAUUAUCAAGCAUCUGUUGGUGAUGUGCUAAUUACAGGAGUAAGACUACUUGCUUUCUGUCUCAAGACUAGCUUUUUCCUUCUGUGUGGAACAAGGAGGUACUUCAUUUGUGUCUUCUGACUUUACUGUAGAACAGCUAUACAGGACUUGGAAGUUUUAAGCUGCAAGUAGUAAACUUUGUUUACUUGCUACUGCUCUUGGAGCUGUGCUGCAGGUUUUCAUGGUUUGAAUGGCUAAUGGUAUAUGUCAGUGUAGAUAGAAUCCAGGAGUGAGCUUGCUGACUGUUCUCUAAGCUGCCAUUUCAGAUGGAUGGCAGGUAGCUACUGGAAUUAAGUGAAAUAUGUAACUUUCUAUAAUUGGUUUUCCAGAAUGAAAAGAAUAAGAAUCGUAACUGGACCCAAAUGUUGGGUGUAUAAAGAGCCCACAAAUAAAUCACUUAUCAGUGUCUGAAUAAUUGAAGAAGAAUGUAACAGCUAUACUUCAGAAAACCCUGUUGCUGUUCUUGCCUAAACAGAUUGGUUACAGUACUAAGCAUGUGUGUUUUAAAAGAAAAAAACCAAAACAUGAGACAACUCUAGAUCUAUAUAACCUGUUGGCUUAUAGAGAAAUAAAUGCAUGUAUAGAGAAAGUAGCAUUCUGUACUGAAGGAAAGCUGCUUCAUCACAUCUCUGACCUCUUGUGAGCCAUUUAAAUCAACAAACUGCACAGCAAAACUGCACUUCUAGAACAAGCCGCCCUGUUCACUGUAGGGGAAGAGGGUCUUCAUAUGCAGUAUGCAACCAGAAUGUACUAUUAAGAUGACAAUUUUCCCAGUGUAACUGUUGGGAUUUAUUUUUUUUUACUCAUACAAGCAAAGAUAAAGUAAGUUUUAAGUAGCUUAAACUUCUGUAGGGUAAUGACCUAGCUAACAUCUAAAACACCGCUUAAAUGUAGUUUGCCAUUAUCUGAAAGUCACUUUUGACCAUUGAAAUUGUUUUACAGCUGGCUUGAGUUUUUUUGGAUUGUUUCUUAAAAGGGCCUUGAUGGUUGUAGUAUGCAUUUUCUUUUGCUGCAGUGAAAAGAAGUUGCUUGUUGAAUAAAAAGGAAAGCAUGAAAGCACUCCAUUCAAAAAAUGGAGAAGCUAGAAAGCUUCUUAUUUUCUGUUUCUAAACACUGACUUAAGAUUUGUACACCUUUACCUGGAACCUUUUUUAACAAUAGUCUUGGUGCUCCAAUGCAGGGCUGUCAGCUUUUACUUCUGCAAAUAAAACUGUAUCAGCCUGAAUGGUCACUCCUGAAUAAGAGUUCGACAUUGUUGCACAGCAUAUUUAAUGCUAAAAUUAUUUUUACCUGUUUGUUUGGUUUGCAUCAGUUUCCCUUUGGUAUUACUAAUUUUUAUACAAAGUAUUCAAUAUUUAUUCUUAAACUUUGCUCUGUACCACAAAAAGACAAUUGUUUUGUAAAAAUUGUUUUGAAUAAACAGACUUAUUUCUUUUAAAAAAAAAAAAAACCACAACAAAAGUGGUAAAUACUCUUGUUGCUUUCUUUGUGACUGACAGGCUCAGCUCUGAUGCUUUUAAAUGCUGUUCUGAGUGCCAGGCUGCCUCCCCCACUUCCCCUCCUUCCUUUCUAUUCUACCUUGAACCUUGUAGAACAACAGGCAAAAUCAGUGUUCCCAAGAAAGGGGACAGUUCAGAAAUUCGUUUACCAAGCUUCUAAGUCUACAGUUGUGUUAAACUGCCAAAUAUUAGAAGCUUAACUUGUUAAUAUUAACUCUUAUAUUCUCUUUAGGUGAUUAUUCCCCCAAGAGAUGUGUAUCUAAGCAAGUUCUAUUUCAGAUCACACUUUGCACCUUUUGAAAACUAGCUGAUGGUGAGAACAGCUGAUGGCCUACAAGUAUUAUCAUCUCCAUGAACCAGCUGGGAAACUCCCAGAGCUUAACAGACAUAAUGAAACCACAGAGGACAUCAGCUUCAAGGCCAGGACUGGAACUUCAGAUCCUCUGCCCAUGGCUUGCUGGGAAAUUCUGCUGUGUUUAAAAUUUUAAUUAAGGCUUUAUUUAAGUUGAAGACAUUCUGAAGGUACAAGAGCAAAGCCUUUUUACAUUUAUAUUUAUACAGCCAUUGUUCACUAAGCAGCAAUUUGUCUUCCUGACUUCUGAAAACAUGCAUCUCCAUCCCGUCUAUCUAUACCAGUCGCAUUCCAGUCACUCCCUCUCAUCUGUUCAGAUUAGUACACACAUACAAGAACAACUUACUGCAAGUACAGUUAAAAUGCAUAAAUUUGUUGGAGCACUGCUGUUUCCUUAUCACUUGGGUGCAUCAGCACAAAACUCGUCAGAAAUCUGUGGGUUUAGUAAAGGGGAAGUGAGGAAGGCUUAAAAACAAUGCUGCCUUUUCAAAGUAGGACUGUUCAGACUUGGGAGAUGUGAUGGAAGCCUUUGUAUCUAGUAGCAAGUAACCACAUGGUAUGUUUUUUUUCCAUGAUCAUGCCCCAGUUUCUUUAGGGACUAUGUUGUCCUGCAUAGCUCUCUAUUCUUUACACUUUUUGAUCUAAAGCACCCAAUGGUUUGAGUCAGUCAACAGCACUAGGGGUGGGCUUACACCCACUCAGACACCACAUAGUUGUUGCAUCUUGUAUUCUCUUCUCCAGCAGUGAUGGGAAUUCCUCAUUUGCAACCAUGACAGCUAAAAUUAUGCUGCGCGCUCUGUGAAAAACAAACUGGAGGUAGAUCAUCAUUCGAAAGGUGCAGAGAGAACUUACAUUCCAUAUACGUGACCUGAAACACACCCCAGAUGAGGCAAUGAUAGCAGGGUUCAUAGCUUUCUUCCCUUUUUUCUGAUAAAUUCAUGCCUGCUCUCAAGAUAAGCAGUACAGACCUACAUAUGCUCUCGCUUAGUGCUUAGCAGCUGUAGCCUGCUGUUCUCAGCACUGAAACUACUGGAUUAAAGUUGGCUGAAAUGUCCCACUUCUGACUGCACCACAGGUAGAGCUAUCCACCACCAAAAAGGUACCCUGUGGGCAAGAAAUCUCAUAGGCUCCAAGCCAUUCAAGAUAAGAAAGCAGAAACAAAGAACAAUGCAGUGAGACUGCUACAUCUCUACCAUUUAGCAACAGAUUAAAGUUGUUUCAGAAAAAAAAACCCAACUGACCACUGGCAGGGCAAGAUAUGAGAACACUAAGAGAAGUGGCAAAGGGGAAGACGACAGUAGCUCUGACUGGAAGUCAGGCAGUUUCAAGGUGCCAUGGAGGCUGACACUUCCCUGAUGACAACUUCUACAGCAGAGGUUCCUUCUGCACACCAUUGAGCUUAUCAGUGUUUCACUGAAUAGCAUGUUUGCCCCGACCCCUCCUGUGUGUAUGAGCAAUACAUUGUUUCAUAUACCCAAAUUAUGUCUGUGGGGUUUGGUUUUUUUUCCAAGUCUCUGCUUCAUAAGAGUUUUUCAAACAAAUUUAACUGAAAGAUCUUAAUUAUAGCCACACACACUUCAAAUCUUGACUCACUUCUAUUUGCAUAUUUUACCAAACUAUAUAUUCAUGCUUUAU